GGCUCAGGAUGAACGCUAGCGACAGGCUUAACACAUGCAAGUCGAGGGGCAGCGGGGGUAGCGAUACCCGCCGGCGACCGGCGCACGGGUGAGUAACGCGUAUGCAACUUGCCUAUCAGAGGGGGAUAACCCGGCGAAAGUCGGACUAAUACCGCAUGAAGCAGGGGCCCCGCAUGGGGAUAUUUGCUAAAGAUUCAUCGCUGAUAGAUAGGCAUGCGUUCCAUUAGGCAGUUGGCGGGGUAACGGCCCACCAAACCGACGAUGGAUAGGGGUUCUGAGAGGAAGGUCCCCCACAUUGGUACUGAGACACGGACCAAACUCCUACGGGAGGCAGCAGUGAGGAAUAUUGGUCAAUGGCCGAGAGGCUGAACCAGCCAAGUCGCGUGAGGGAUGAAGGUUCUAUGGAUCGUAAACCUCUUUUAUAAGGGAAUAAAGUGCGGGACGUGUCCCGUUUUGUAUGUACCUUAUGAAUAAGGAUCGGCUAACUCCGUGCCAGCAGCCGCGGUAAUACGGAGGAUCCGAGCGUUAUCCGGAUUUAUUGGGUUUAAAGGGUGCGUAGGCGGCCUUUUAAGUCAGCGGUGAAAGUCUGUGGCUCAACCAUAGAAUUGCCGUUGAAACUGGGGGGCUUGAGUAUGUUUGAGGCAGGCGGAAUGCGUGGUGUAGCGGUGAAAUGCAUAGAUAUCACGCAGAACCCCGAUUGCGAAGGCAGCCUGCCAAGCCAUUACUGACGCUGAUGCACGAAAGCGUGGGGAUCAAACAGGAUUAGAUACCCUGGUAGUCCACGCAGUAAACGAUGAUCACUAGCUGUUUGCGAUACACUGUAAGCGGCACAGCGAAAGCGUUAAGUGAUCCACCUGGGGAGUACGCCGGCAACGGUGAAACUCAAAGGAAUUGACGGGGGCCCGCACAAGCGGAGGAACAUGUGGUUUAAUUCGAUGAUACGCGAGGAACCUUACCCGGGUUUGAACGCAUUCGGACCGAGGUGGAAACACCUUUUCUAGCAAUAGCCGUUUGCGAGGUGCUGCAUGGUUGCCGUCAGCUCGUGCCGUGAGGUGUCGGCUUAAGUGCCAUAACGAGCGCAACCCUUGCCACUAGUUACUAACAGGUAAAGCUGAGGACUCUGGUGGGACUGCCAGCGUAAGCUGCGAGGAAGGCGGGGAUGACGUCAAAUCAGCACGGCCCUUACAUCCGGGGCGACACACGUGUUACAAUGGCGUGGACAAAGGGAAGCCACCUGGCGACAGGGAGCGAAUCCCCAAACCACGUCUCAGUUCGGAUCGGAGUCUGCAACCCGACUCCGUGAAGCUGGAUUCGCUAGUAAUCGCGCAUCAGCCAUGGCGCAGUGAAUACGUUCCCGGGCCUUGUACACACCGCCCGUCAAGCCAUGGGAGCCGGGGGUACCUGAAGUCCGUAACCGCGAGGAUCGGCCUAGGGUAAAACUGG
rnacentral:rRNA from 1 species